UACAGAGGUCUCAAGCGUUGUUCGGAUUCAUUGGGCGUAAAGGGCGCGUAGGCGGCUGCUCAAGUCGGGUGUGAAAGCCCGGGGCUCAACCCCGGAACGGCACCCGAGACUGGGCGGCUCGAGACCGGGAGAGGUGGGUGGAAUACCCAGUGUAGAGGUGAAAUUCGUAGAUAUUGGGUGGAACACCGGUGGCGAAAGCGGCUCACUGGCCCGGUUCUGACGCUGAGGCGCGAAAGCGUGGGGAGCAAACAGG
rnacentral:rRNA from 1 species